UGAAAAUGGAAUGUUCAGAAACACAUGUGC
rnacentral:piRNA from 1 species